rnacentral:rRNA from 1 species
AUUGAACGCUGGCGGCAUGCCUUACACAUGCAAGUCGAACGGUAACAGGUCUUCGGAUGCUGACGAGUGGCGAACGGGUGAGUAAUACAUCGAAACGUGCCUAGUAGUGGGGGAUAACUACUCGAAAGAGUGGCUAAUACCGCAUGAGAUCUACGGAUGAAAGCAGGGGAUCGCAAGACCUUGUGCUACUAGAGCGGCCGAUGGCAGAUUAGGUAGUUGGUGGGAUAAAAGCUUACCAAGCCGACGAUCUGUAGCUGGUCUGAGAGGACGAUCAGCAACACUGGGACUGAGACACGGCCCAGACUCCUACGGGAGUCAGCAGUGGGGAAUUUUGGACAAUGGGCGCAAGCCUGAUCCAGCAAUGCCGCGUGCAGGAUGAAGGCCUUCGGGUUGUAAACUGCUUUUGUACGGAACGAAAAGCCCUGGGUUAAUACCCUGGGGUCAUGACGGUACCGUAAGAAUAAGCACCGGCUAACUACGUGCCAGCCGCCGCAGUAA